ACUAAUCAUAAGUUCAUAACCAAAGAAUCUAUACAAGGGUGUGUGCCUUAUCCUCUCUCUCUCUCUCUCUCAGACCCAAAAACAAAAAAAAAAUCCCAAAACAAGCAGAGACACCCUCCUCCCUCGAAUCAAAUUACAAAGAAAUGGAGAACAACCAGCAGGCCCAAUCCUCCCCAUACCCACCACAGCAACCCUUUCACCAUCUUCUGCAGCAGCAACAGCAGCAGCUUCAGAUGUUUUGGUCCUACCAACGCCAAGAGAUCGAGCAGGUGAACGACUUCAAGAACCACCAACUGCCUCUGGCCCGCAUCAAGAAGAUUAUGAAGGCGGAUGAGGAUGUGCGGAUGAUCUCGGCGGAGGCCCCAAUCCUCUUCGCCAAGGCCUGCGAGCUCUUCAUUCUGGAGCUGACGAUAAGGUCGUGGUUGCACGCGGAGGAGAACAAGAGGAGGACGCUGCAGAAGAAUGAUAUCGCCGCGGCGAUUACUAGGACGGAUAUAUUUGAUUUUUUGGUGGAUAUUGUGCCGAGGGAUGAGAUCAAGGACGAGGGGGGGUUGGGGAUGGUAGGAUCGACGGCCAGUGGGGUGCCGUACUAUUAUCCGCCGAUGGGGCAGCCCGCGCCGGGGGUAAUGAUGGGAAGGCCGGCGGUUCCGGGGGUGGAUCCGGGGGUGUACGUGCAGCCGCCGUCGCAGGCGUGGCAGUCGGUGUGGCAGACGGCAGAGGAUGGGUCGUACGGGAGCGGAGGGAGCAGUGGACAGGGGAAUCUUGAUGGCCAAGGGUGAUGUUGUUUUCAUCUCUCUGUUGUACCAGAAUUGCAAGCACCUGUAAGAAUAUUGACAUUUUAAGCAAACGCCCAUUGUGGAUGUUGUGGUGCUUCCCAGCAUGAUGGAAACUAUCGAGCUCGUGGACAGAACUUGGAUUUUCCUUGGCUAUGAAUCAUAGGAGCACUUGCUCUGUUAUUAUUUGUGAAAACUGGUUGGUUUUUAAUGUAAUGGCUUCAAUUAGAAACUUGUUAAAAACCGUGAUUUGGACCAGUGCAGUGAUAUGACUCAACUAAUCCUAUGUGCAGUUCUAAAUGUAAGGUCCAUGUUUUUCAUUUUAACUGAAUGAUUCUAGUUAUCUGAAUAUAUUCUCAUAUUACUUGUCA